CCUACGGGGGGCAGCAGUGGGGAAUAUUGGACAAUGGGCGAAAGCCUGAUCCAGCCAUGCCGCGUGUGUGAAGAAGGCCUUCGGGUUGUAAAGCACUUUCAGUGGGGAAGAAAGCCUUGGGGCUAAUACCCUCGAGGAAGGACAUCACCCACAGAAGAAGCACCGGUUAACUCCGUGCCAGCAGCCGCGGUAAUACGGAGGGUGCGAGCGUUAAUCGGAAUUACUGGGCGUAAAGCGCGCGUAGGCGGUCUGAUAAGCCGGUUGUGAAAGCCCCGGGCUCAACCUGGGAACGGCAUCCGGAACUGUCAGGCUAGAGUGCAGGAGAGGAAGGUAGAAUUCCCGGUGUAGCGGUGAAAUGCGUAGAGAUCGGGAGGAAUACCAGUGGCGAAGGCGGCCUUCUGGACUGACACUGACGCUGAGGUGCGAAAGCGUGGGUAGCAAACAGGAUUAGAUACCCUGGUAGUC
rnacentral:rRNA from 1 species